rnacentral:rRNA from 1 species
UACGAAGGGGGCUAGCGUUGUUCGGAUUUACUGGGCGUAAAGCGCACGUAGGCGGAUCUUUAAGUCAGAGGUGAAAUCCCAAGGCUCAACCUUGGAACUGCCUUUGAUACUGGGGAUCUCGAGUUCGGGAGAGGUGAGUGGAACUGCGAGUGUAGAGGUGAAAUUCGUAGAUAUUCGCAAGAACACCAGUGGCGAAGGCGGCUCACUGGCCCGAUUCUGACGCUGAGGUGCGAAAGCGUGGGGAGCAAACAGG